GCCCGUAACCCUCUUGGAUCCAGCUUUAUAUGAGGAUGCUGGCGACGUUUCCCCAAGCGCGCAAAUGGCAAUUCAGACACAUCGUCUCUGUUUUCGCUCGUAGCAGCUCGGCAACAUUCUUCGAAGUUCGACCUCAGAUGGUGCUUACUGUAGGUGAUCUGAUUUCUCGACGGAGCCAGCUUAUGCCCGUGGAGGAGACAAUGCCGAAGUGCCACUGGUUGGAGGUAGUUUACCUUGAAGUGUUGUUCGCUGAGGCAGAUGAUUUAGAAUUUGUACUCUAAAAUCUAGAGGACAAUGAACCUUUCAGUUGGUCGAAGCAUUGCGUGGGGAAGGUAUUAUAGGGAUGGUUGAGUUUAUGACCUCUGCAGGGUGGCAAGAGAGCUUGUUUGGAUGUCGAGAGGUUUUUUGUUUGCGAACGUGAGAUUUUGGUUCUCUCUGGACUCUGUACAUUAUUGUAUAGUUUGGAUUUGGAUUUCUUUGGAGAGAUUGCUUCUUUGUGGAGGACCUUGGAGGAUCGUGAGAGUUAGGUCAAA